AUUGAACGCUGGCGGCAGGCUUAACACAUGCAAGUCGAGCGAGCGGCGGACGGGUGAGUAAUGUAUGGGAAACUGCCUGAUGGAGGGGGAUAACUACUGGAAACGGUAGCUAAUACCGCAUACCAUAGGAUGAGCCGAAGUGGGAUUAGGUAGUUGGUGGGGUAAAGGCUCACCAAGGCGACGAUCCCUAGCUGGUCUGAGAGGAUGAUCAGCCACACUGGGACUGAGACACGGCCCAGACUCCUACGGGAGGCAGCAGUGGGGAAUAUUGCACAAUGGGCGCAACCCUGAUGCAGCCAUCCCGCGUGUAUGAAGAAGGCCUUCGGGUUGUAAAGUUCUUUCGGUAGCGAGGCGUUAUCUGCAGAAGAAGCACCGGCUAACUCCGUGCCAGCAGCCGCGGUAAUAC
rnacentral:rRNA from 1 species